GUAAAGAGAUUUCAUAUCUCUAGGUGGUUUGGUAAAGAGCUUGAUAGUAUAGGUAGGAAUAGAUAGGGUGAUGGUAUUUACAGGGGGUUUUAUGCAAUCAUCCAUUUAUAAUAUAAUUAAUGUAUUAUUUUUAAAACUAAAAAAUAAAUUAAAAGGUAAAAUUAUGUGAAAUGAACUUUUAACUCCAUAUACCCCAAGUGUUCUUAAAAAAAUCUAAUAUGUCCCUCUUAUAAAAGUAUUUAACUUUUGAUUUUUUUUUAAAUCCAAAACACAUCUAAAUACAAUAAAUCCAUUAAUGAAUCUUCAGAAUUACCAACCCAACCACAGUACUAUGGGUUACCCACCCAAGCCCGAUACAAAUGGAUCUUAUCCUAUAAUUUAAUUUUUUUUUUUAAAUCUUUUCCUCUUCUUUCAUGGGAAAUUGGGCUCUAUAACCUUCAAACAAAUUAUAAUUCAUUCACUAUCUAAAACCCCUAACUCAUCUAUACAACUUACCUCUUAUAUAUAAUAUUGACAUAUUGCCCCUCACAUGCAACCGGUGAAACAUGUAAGAAAAAAAAUAAAUUGAUUUAAUAAUAAUAAUACUAAAACAUAACUUGUGGCCCUUUGAAAAACACAUUCUUUCAUAUGUAAUUUAUUUUGGUAACUUUGCAAAAGAUAAAAGUCUUCUUCCCAGAUUUAUUCUGGAAUUGAUUUCUUCUCACAAGAAGGACAACCAAUUGUGAUAAAUAAGAGACAACUGUUAAGGCAUACACGUGGUGAAGAAUAACGACGGCGGAUCGGUAAAAGUGUCGCCGUGUCGAAAAAGAGAGAGGAGAUGAAGAUGAUCUCUAUAUGGUGGUGAAGAAUAAUGACGGCGAUUCAAGUGAAUGUGUAUCAGCCUGUGAAAAAAAAUGAAUUGAAGAAGAUGAACUCGCCGUCUAUACUAUAUUCGAUGAAAAAAAUAGUUAAGUAUCGAUUCUUUAAUGUAGCUUUAUAUACAUGUAUCAUACUAUUUGAGACGUAUUUCUAUACUAUUCUCUAAAAUGUAAUAAUUUGUCAUGUCUUCAAAUUUGAUAGUUCUUUUCUCUGUCAUUUUGUGUGAUUGGUUGUAAUAUGCAAUUCAUACUAUAUUGGUUUAUGUGUAAUGAUUAAAACCAAAUUUGGUUAGAGAG